GAUUCUGGCUCAGGAUGAACGCUAGCUACAGGCUUAACACAUGCAAGUCGAGGGGCAGCAGGACGAUAGCUUGCUAUUGUUGCUGGCGACCGGCGCACGGGUGAGUAACGCGUAUCCAACCUUCCCCUUAGUAGGGCAUAGCCCGGUGAAAAUCGGAUUAAUACCCUAUGUUGUGUCAUGAGGACAUCUGAAUAACACUAAAGAUUUAUCGCUAAGGGAUGGGGAUGCGUCCGAUUAGGUAGUCGGCGGGGUAACGGCCCACCGAGCCCUCGAUCGGUAGGGUUCUGAGAGGAAGGUCCCCCACACUGGUACUGAGACACGGACCAGACUCCUACGGGAGGCAGCAGUGAGGAAUAUUGGUCAAUGGGCGUAAGCCUGAACCAGCCAAGUAGCGUGCAGGAUGACGGCCCUAUGGGUUGUAAACUGCUUUUAUACGGGGAUAAAGUGAGGGACGUGUCCCUUAUUGUAGGUACCGUAUGAAUAAGGACCGGCUAAUUCCGUGCCAGCAGCAGC
rnacentral:rRNA from 1 species